GCAUCUAUUCGGUUCCUUAACCCAUUUAUUGAUUAGGUUGUUUGUUUUUUUUGGUGCUAAGUUUUUUGAGUUCUUUAUAUAUCCUGGAUGUGUGUGUGGUAAAAAUUUGCUCCCAUACUGGAGGCUCUCUCUUCACCUCAUUGAUUGUUUCUUUUGCUGAGAAGAAACUUUUUCAUUUGAAUCCAUCCCAUUUAUUGAUUCUUAAUUUUACUUCUUGUGCUUUAGGAAUCUUGUU
rnacentral:lncRNA from 1 species